AGCCUAAAAAUAGAGCGUUCGCGAAUUCCAUAAAAGUGAGACAUCACAGAGCUUCUGGAUUCUGGGGGAAAAAAAGAUGAAGCAUCUGAAAAGGUGGCUCGGAUCGGGGGGGGGGGGGGGGGUUAUGGUGGACUCGUCGCCUCCAUGGCAUGGGAGACUACCAAAUCAGAGACUGAAAGACUGAGACAUCACGCCUCGAGUUCGCCUUGUGAUGCAGUCUCCAUGGCGACUACAGUUUCCUGGGAAACAGCCUGGAUGUCUGUUGUUUGCUGACGACGGAUAUUAGGCUAAUAUGAAUGAAGACAACAGGAUUUAGAAGGCUUCGGGGGAGAUCCACGCAGUGCCUAGGAAUGACGACCAAUAGAAACGGAGGCCGUUAACCUU